rnacentral:rRNA from 1 species
GACGAACGCUGGCGGCGUGCUUAACACAUGCAAGUCGAACGGAAAGGCCCUGCUUUUGUGGGGUGCUCGAGUGGCGAACGGGUGAGUAACACGUGAGUAACCUGCCCUUGACUUUGGGAUAUCUUCAGGAAACUGGGGCUAAUACAGGAUAUGAGCUCCUGCUGCAUGGUGGGGGUUGGAAAGUUUCGGCGGUUGGGGAUGGACUCGCGGCUUAUCAGCUUGUUGGUGGGGUAGUGGCUUACCAAGGCUUUGACGGGUAGCCGGCCUGAGAGGGUGACCGGCCACAUUGGGACUGAGAUACGGCCCAGACUCCUACGGUAGGCAGCAGUGGGGAAUAUUGCACAAUGGGCGGAAGCCUGAUGCAGCAACGCCGCGUGCGGGAUGACGUCCUUCGGGUUGUAAACCGCUUUCGCCUGUGACGAAGCGUGAGUGACGGUAAUGGGUAAAGAAGCACCGGCUAACUACGUG